AGUGAACGCUGGCGGUAGGCCUAACAUAUGCAAGUCGAACGGCAGCACAGUAAGAGCUUGCUCUUACGGGUGGCGAGUGGCGGACGGGUGAGGAAUACAUCGGAAUCUACUUUUUCGUGGGGGAUAACGUAGGGAAACUUACGCUAAUACCGCAUACGACCUACGGGUGAAAGCAGGGGAUCUUCGGACCUUGCGCGAUUGAAUGAGCCGAUGUCGGAUUAGCUAGUUGGCGGGGUAAAGGCCCACCAAGGCGACGAUCCGUAGCUGGUCUGAGAGGAUGAUCAGCCACACUGGAACUGAGACACGGUCCAGACUCCUACGGGAGGCAGCAGUGGGGAAUAUUGGACAAUGGGCGCAAGCCUGAUCCAGCCAUACCGCGUGGGUGAAGAAGGCCUUCGGGUUGUAAAGCCCUUUUGUUGGGAAAGAAAAGCAGCAGGUUAAUACCCCGCUGUUCUGACGGUACCCAAAAAAUAAGCACCGGCUAACUUCGUG
rnacentral:rRNA from 1 species